rnacentral:ncRNA from 1 species
AAAAGACAAAGGCAUACUCAUCGUGAGGUGAGGACGCAAAGCUUCCGGUCUAGCAAAUAGAUAGCGGGGUUACCAAA